AACAUAAUAUAAUAUAUAACAACAUAACAUGACAUGACAUAUAAUAUGAUGGAUAGGAUAGGAUAGGAUAGGAUAGGAUAGGAUAGGAUAGAAUAGAAUAGAAUAGAAUAGAAUAGAAUAGAAUAGAAUAGAAUAGAAUAGAAUAGAAUAGAAUAGAAUAGAAUAGAAUAGAAUAGAAUAGAAUAGAAUAGAAUAGAAUAGAAUAGAAUAGAAUAGAAUGUGUUAAGGUGAAGAGAAACCCUGUAAGGAUGGUAUAAACUGGUGACCAGGAUUUUGCAGAACCUCAUCAGACAGGGUAGUCUCUUCAAAGCCAGAGAGCAAAAAUGGCUGCCCUCUCUGCCCCAGGCCAAGAACCAGACCAUCUUUAAAGUCUUGCAUUUUCUUGACGAUGUCUUCAGUGGUGCUUUUGCAGGCUUUUCACAGUCCAUUGAUGGAAGCCAAGAAGGACAACAGAGAACAACUGUUACUCUUGUCUCUGAGCAGGCUCUGGUUUCCACCACCACCACCAAAACAGCAACAAAUGACCAUGAUCAAGAGGCAAAGGGUCUCUUCUUUGAUGAGUAAAAACAAUCAAACAAAUGAGUAGAACCUGGACUUCUCUACAGUUUGAUCCUUCAAAUGAGGAAGAAAUAAACAACACUUUUCACAGAUGUUAUUAACUGUU
rnacentral:lncRNA from 1 species